GUCACGAACCCACCACUAAUCCAGUAGGUAUAGUGGGGGCUUGAAAAGCCCAAGACGUGACCAGACUAAGGUUCUAGAAACCUACGUUAUUUGAGUCAAGACACCUUGAGAUGCGUGCCAGUCUCACGCUCUGUCGCUCAUCUUUAAACAUCCCUAAACGGGUUAAGGAAGUGAGAUGGGCCUAACAAGCUCAAAUAACAUUGUCGAGGCAAACUUUACCCUAGAAAUAGG
rnacentral:ncRNA from 2 species